UUGGCGGCAAGAUAGCCCCUUAGAGGAACCUGCCCUGUAAACGAUGAACCACGAGUACCUUACUUUUCUUGGUAAUUCAGUUUGUAUAUCGCUGUUGUCAGUCAGAUUCUGGAGAAUAUUUUCGAACUUGAUAAAUUCAUUGACUUCAAGUAAAGGUGCAGCUUAUAGAAAAGAUAGAGGUGGGUUACAUUUAUAAGAUUAAUACGGAUUGGAUAAAAGAAUUAUUCUAUGAAGGUGGAUUUAACUGUAAAACUAAUAUAAGUUUGGUGAGAGCUCUAUCUUGUGUACACA
rnacentral:rRNA from 1 species